CCACCAGCAUCCAGUAGAGCACACAUCGCAAAAAAGGAGAGAGAUCCAGCGAGAUCAGAGAGAGACCGCCAUCUAGCUCUAGUAGAGCACAUCUGAUCUGACAGAGGGCAGAGCAGAGCGAGAAGAUCAUAGAGGAAAUUAAGGAAAGAUGGAGGCGACGGCGGUGAGCCUGGCGAGGACGGUCCUGGACGGGGUGCUGGGAAGCGCGGCGACGGCGAUGGCGGACGAGGCGGCGCUGCUGCUGGGGGUGCGGAGGGAGGUGGACUUCAUCCGCAGCGAGCUGGAGAUGAUGCGCUCCUUCCUCCGGUCCUCCGCCGCCGCGUGCUCCUCCGCCGGGGGAGGCUGCUGCAAGGACACGCUCAAGACGUGCGUCAAGCAGGUGCGCGACCUCGCCUGCGACCUCGAGGACUGCCUCCUCGACUUCUCGCUGCACGCGGCCCGCCCGCCCUGGCUCCGCCUGGCCGACCUCGCCGCCCGCCACCGCGUCGCCGACCGGAUACGCGGCCUCAAGGCCACCGUCGACGAGCUCAACCAGCGCAACCAGCGCUACAACGUCUUCGUCGUCGACAAGGCCGUCCCCGCGCCGCCCGCGGACAAGCCCCCGCAGCACGGGCACGACGCUGAACAUCUCCUGCACCCCGAUCUCGCGUCAGGGAGUAGCAAAUUAUCCCAGGUGGUCGGCCGGGACGAAGACAAGGAAGCCCUGAGGGAGAAGCUGGUGAAAGGGGCGGGCGUGGUGUCGGCGGUGUGGGGCAUGGGCGGGAUGGGGAAGUCGUCGCUGGUGACGAUGCUGUACAACGACAGAGCUCUCAUCGACGGCUUCGACUGCCGCGCCUGGGUCACCGUGCCGCGCCACUGGAGAGCCCCGACGAGUUCGGGCGCCGGCUCGAGAAGCAGCUCGGCGUGGACAACGGCCGCGGCGUAUCGGCGUGGAUCAAGGAGAAGCGGUGCCUGGUCGUCGUCGAUGACGUGUCUUCCGGGGAGGAGUGGGACCACAUUCGGCCCUGCUUCGACGCGAUCUGCGACGGCGGUCGGGUCGUCGUGACGACACGGCGGGAGGAUGUUGCCCGGCAAUGCGCCGGUGACAAUGUGUACGAGCUCAAACCUCUCGCACCAGGCGAGGCCCUGAAACUGCUCUGUCAAAAGGUGUACAAGGAUGAUGAAUACAAGUUGUCAGAGCACAUGAAGGAGGAAGCCAACCUUAUCUUAAGGCGAUGUCGAGGCCUUCCACUGGCUAUAGCCACCAUAGGAGGCCUAUUGGCUAACAGACCCAAAACGAGCAGAGAAUGGAUGAAUCUGGGAGAUCAUCUUGGGUCAGAGUUGGAGUAUGACCGUGAUAUCAUGAGAGUUAUCACCUCGAGCUACGACGGGUUACCAUAUCAUCUCAAAACUUGUUUUUUGUACCUUAGUAUUUUCCCUGAGAACUAUGAGAUCAGGUGUACCCGUUUACUGCGCCGGUGGAUGGCUGAAGGGUACAUAGCAAAGCCACGUGACAUGACCAUCGAGGAAGUCGGGCGGAGGCACUACAAGGAGCUCAUCAAUAGAAGCAUGAUCCAGCCCUCCAAGAAGGUUAGGGCUAGCAUGGCAGUUGAACGUUGCCGUGUUCAUGGCGUGGUACUCCAGAUAAUCCUUUCCAAAUCAGUUGAGGAGAACCAACUAUUCAUCAUGGAUAAUCACUGCAACGAGGCUCCACAGAGUAAGAUACGCCACUUAGUAGUGACCAGAAGGAAGAAGAGUGAGAAUAUGUCAAGCAUAAACUUGUCUUUGAUACGUUCAUUGACAGUUUUCGGAGAGUGCCCAUUAUCCCUCAUCACCCCUAAGUUGCGGUUGCUGAGAGUACUUGACCUGGAGGACACGAUUGGUCUGGAGAAUGAUGAUCUCAAGCAUGUUGGGGAACUACGCCAUUUAAGGUAUCUCGGUCUAAGAGGAACAAAUAUUUCAGCACUUCCUUCUUCUCUGCAGAACUUGGUAUGCCUAGAGACAUUAGAUGUUCAAGACACGAAGGUGACAUGGUUCCCACAUGGUAUCACAAAAUUGGAGAAUCUGCGGUACCUUGUUGGUGGCAUCAACUUUGCGAAAGACUUGGUAGAGAAGAUGGGGAAGAAGAAUGCAACCAAAGGUAACAACAACUGCUCGAAAACCUUAGCAGACUUUGUAUGUGGGUGCUAUGGUGGUUACAAGGAACAGAGUCAAUGUCUAUGUUCGGGAUGCACAUGCGAGUUUAGUGUACGAGCUCCUGAGAGAAUUGAGAAGCUAAGGAAUCUACUUGUGCUUGGGGUUUUGCACAUCGCACAAGGCAGCGAAGUGGCAAGGAAUUUGGGAAAGCUGACUAACUUGCGCAGAUUAGGAGUGGAUUUAGAGGCGGAUGGGGGAGCAUGGAUGGAAUUAUGCAGCUCGAUAUCAAGGCUUGUUCAUCUGGAACGACUUGAAGUACGCUCUGAAUCUCUUGAGUUUCUAAAGGACACGAGCAAAGACAAAUCUCCACCAAAGCAUCUCACGUCACUAAGGUUAUGUGGCCGUUUAGGAAAUCUCCCUAGUUGGAUGAGUUCCCUCAAUGAUCUAUCAAAGGUAAAACUACUUCGAACACAGUUGAAGCAAGAAGAAAUCAGGGUUCUUGGAAAACUAGGCAAUCUCACUCUUCUUGGACUCUGGGAGGAUUCUUUCAUGGAAGAGUCACUAUGUUUCAGCAAUGGUACAUUCAAAAAACUCAAACUGCUUUACAUUGAAGGCUUGAAGAAUCUCAAAACCAUACAGAUCGAGGAUGGCACGUUGACUGUGCUUGAGAACCUCCGAGUGAGAAAAUGUCUCCAACUGCAUGAUGGUGAGAAAGGCUUUUCUGGUGUGGUCUUCUUACGGAACCUAAAUGAACUUGCCCUGACAAGUUGUGGCGAAAAACCGGAGUUGGAAAAGGCUCUUCAAUUGCAGAUUGUGGGACUAGCGAACCGGCCCACACUAAUAACAGGCAAGUCUAUCGUAUUGAGGAGUGCGCCAUCAUUGAGACAUUUCCUUCCCAUGGAAGCAGACUGUGCAUAAAGAUAGUAGGCUCAACAGAUGAAAGCAAUUCAUUUAGAUUUGUUAUGUGGAUAUAUCAAUCCAAAAUUUUACCAAAUACCAUAAUUGUAUUUACCAAUAGAUAGUAGUUCUUAUGUACGAAUGUAGUUGUUGUAUUUUCUCCGCAAAGGGCACCAGUAGUUCCUAGUUUUGUCUCUCAAA